AGUGAACGCUGGCGGUAGGCCUAACACAUGCAAGUCGAACGGCAGCACAGUAAGAGCUUGCUCUUACGGGUGGCGAGUGGCGGACGGGUGAGGAAUACAUCGGAAUCUACUUUUUCGUGGGGGAUAACGUAGGGAAACUUACGCUAAUACCGCAUACGACCUCCGGGUGAAAGCAGGGGAUCUUCUGACCUUGCGCGAUUGAAUGAGCCGAUGUCGGAUUAGCUAGUUGGCGGGGUAAAGGCCCACCAAGGCGACGAUCCGUAGCUGGUCUGAGAGGAUGAUCAGCCAGACUGGAAGUGAGACACGGUCCAGACUCCUACGGGAGGCAGCAGUGGGGAAUAUUGGACAAAGGGCGCAAGCCUGAUCCAGCAAAACCGCGUGGGUGAAGAAGGCCUUCGGGUUGUAAAGCCCUUUUGUUGGGAAAGAAAAGAAGCAGGUUAAUACCCCGCUGUUCUGACGGUACCCAAAGAAUAAGCACCGGCUAACUUCGUG
rnacentral:rRNA from 1 species